rnacentral:siRNA from 1 species
ACGUACCUCGUGUCCACCGGUGA